GAUUUCCUCAAUAGCCAAAACCUGUUCAUAAAAUGUAUUUGGAGUAAACUGGGAAUGUCAUAUUUUUGUCAUUUCAAGUGAUUAAAGCAAUAAAAUCCUUUUUUGACCUUAUUUUCCAUGGUGCAAAAGAUGUAAUAUCCCAACAGUCAUACCCAAUGAUGGCUCUGAUGAACAAAUAUGGAAGAGAAAUGUGACACAGACCUGCUCAAUAAUUUCAUGCCUU
rnacentral:misc_RNA from 1 species